GACGAACGCUGGCGGCGUGCUUAACACAUGCAAGUCGAACGGAAAGGCCCUGCUUUUGUUGGGUGCUCGAGUGGCGAACGGGUGAGUAACACGUGAGUAACCUUCCCUUUACUUUGGGAUAACUUCAGGAAACUGGGGCUAAUACCGGAUAGGAGCUCCUGCUGCAUGGUGGGGGUUGGAAAGUUUCGGCGGUUGGGGAUGUACUCGCGGCUUAUCAGCUUGUUGGUGGGGUAGUGGCUUACCAAGGCUUUGACGGGUAGCCGGCCUGAGAGGGUGACCGGCCACAUUGGGACUGAGAUACGGCCCAGACUCCUACGGGAGGCAGCAGUGGGGAAUAUUGCACAAUGGGCGGAAGCCUGAUGCAGCAACGCCGCGUGCGGGAUGACGGCCUUCGGGUUGUAAACCGCUUUCGCCUGUGACGAAGCGUGAGUGACGGUAAUGGGUAAAGAAGCACCGGCUAACUACGUG
rnacentral:rRNA from 1 species